GAUAAUCGAGACUGAAACCAUACACUGUGCAGUAGUUUGUAUCCUGAUGGGAAACCUUUGUAAUUCUUUCCAUCUAGACAAGGAAAACAACAUCUGUACUGCAGCUCAUUUGGACAAGCUCGAAUAUGUCUUGGAAGAAGAAGAAGUUUUUGCUUACGUCGAAACUGAAGUCUUGAAGGGACUGAUGCUGAUCCUACCUUCUACAACAACCACUACAACCACAACAACAACAA